CAAGGAUUGUACUGUGAACCCGGCAUGAUGGAUGUCUCUAGUUUUUCCAGAUUUAAUCGAAAAUACGAGGCAAGAUAUGGCAUAUUCCUAUCAGACCAGUCCAGGAGUGCCAGAAAUAGAGGCAAAGACUUUGAAGAAGCAGCGAAUGGUUGAAUAAGGUUCUACUCAUUUUGGUGCGAAUUGCUCUAUUUGCUGUGAAGGAAUGCCACAGACGGUGAGUACAAAAUGUGAUUUACUUCUUUCACCAUUAUCAAUACCUGUUAUAUAGAUACAGGGUAACCUGAUGAUGUAGAUUUGUACUUGAGGUUAUAUCUAAAAAAAAUAUUUUAACAACUAUUAAAGUUGCACAAUGUGCCCUUUUCAUUGUCAAGAAAAGGGAGCUGUGACAUUAUUUGGUACUGUAUACAUAACAUAGGCAAUAUCUUUGGUUGUCUCUAGUUGACUGAUGACAAAAGAAGAAGAAGAAGAAGAAGAAGAAGAAGAAGAAGAAGAAGAAGUAGUAGUAUUAGUAGUAGUAGUAGUAUUGGGUAGGGUGAUAAGGUUAAUUGGAAAGGAAGGCUUGAAAGGUAUAUGAGGUCAUGUACUAUAGUUAGUGUGCAAGAUAAACCCCGAGUUUCUCAGAAGAAUAUGAAAAUGUUAUUCAGAUACUUAUAUUAAUGAUAAAUGAUAGUUGAGUACUUCAUACAUAGUGCAUAUGUACUUGCAUGUUCACGGUUUAUCAAGAAAAAUAAGAUUUUUUCAGUUGGGCUUUUUCUAGCCAUUGUCUAGGGCGUCCGUGGCGAUCCCUUUUCCAAUAUAUUUCCUUUUAGUGGUCAAAAAUUAAGUUGUUCUGGAUGAAAGCUCCUUAACAUUUUGUUCAUCCACUUCAUCCUCCUCCCUCUGAAGGGAUGCCGAGAACUAGAGUACUGAAUGUACUGUGUACUUUUGUCUAAGGUGAAACUUGUUGAAUAGGUCUAAAGAGGGAAACAAAGGUUCCAGAAACAUGACGCCGUAAUAUGUACCCUCUUUGGUGGUC